UAGGUCACACCAAGAUGGGAUCUAUCAACUUUGAUAGAUGAGAGGAGUAGUCCUAUGAUAAUUGAAAGAUCGUGUCCUUAAGCCCAUAGCCAUGGCAGAGUAAAAUAAUGAAAAAGAAUUUUCUAUUAAGGUUUCAUAUCGGACUCGGAUCGAUCGAUUGAUUCAUAUGACUGAUGUUGGAUUUGACGAGUUCACCUUAACCCUAAUUCAGUCGGGACUCAUGAUAGAGGAACUCAAUCACACA
rnacentral:lncRNA from 1 species